rnacentral:rRNA from 1 species
UUGAACGCUGGCGGCAUGCCUUACACAUGCAAGUCGAACGGUAGAGGGGCAACCCUUGAGAGUGGCGAACGGGUGAGUAAUAUAUCGGAACGUGCCCAGUCGUGGGGGAUAACGCAGCGAAAGCUGCGCUAAUACCGCAUACGAUCUAUGGAUGAAAGCGGGGGAUCGCAAGACCUCGCGCGAUUGGAGCGGCCGAUAUCAGAUUAGGUAGUUGGUGGGGUAAAA